rfam:Triticum aestivum genome assembly, contig: Triticum_aestivum_CS42_TGACv1_scaffold_009516_1AL
UUUCUACUCCCUCCGUCCGAAAAUACUUGUCAUCAAAAUGGAUAAAAAGAGAUGUAUACAAAACUAAAAUACGUCUAGAUACAUUUCCUUUUAUCCAUUUUGAUGACAAGUAUUUCCGGACAGAGGGAGUAUUUG